rnacentral:rRNA from 1 species
AGUGAACGCUGGCGGUAGGCCUAACACAUGCAAGUCGAACGGCAGCACAGUAAGAGCUUGCUCUUACGGGUGGCGAGUGGCGGACGGGUGAGGAAUACAUCGGAAUCUACUUUUUCGUGGGGGAUAACGUAGGGAAACUUACGCUAAUACCGCAUACGACCUACGGGUGAAAGCAGGGGAUCUUCGGACCUUGCGCGAUUGACUGAGCCGAUGUCGGAUUCGCUAGUUGGCGGGGUAAAGGCCCACCAAGGCGACGAUCCGUAGCUGAUCUGAGAGGAUGAUCAGCCACACUGGAACUGAGACACGGUCCAGACUACUACGGGAGGCAGCAGUGGGGAAUAUUGGACAAUGGGCGCAAGCCUGGUCCAGCCAUACCGCGUGGGAGAAGAAGGCCUUCGGGUUGUAAAGCCCUUUUGUUGGGAAAGAAAAGCAGCAGGUUAAUACCCCGCUGUUCUGACGGUACCGAAAGAAGAAGCACCGGCUAACUUCGUG